rnacentral:rRNA from 1 species
CGUGAAAUUGGUGAAAGGGAAGCGUUUAUGACCAGACUUGGACUUGGUUAAUCAUCUGGGGUUCUCCCCAGUGCACUUUUCCAGUUCAGGCCAGCAUCAGUUUUCCCCGGGGGAUAAAGGCGGCGGGAAUGUGGCUCUCUUCGGGGAGUGUUAUAGCGCGCCGUGUAAUACCCUGGGGGGGACUGAGGUUCGCGCAUCUGCAAGGAUGCUGGCGUAAUGGGCAUCAACGACCCGUCUUGAAACACGG